CAGAGGGUAGUUUAAUUAAAAUAUUAAUUUUGGGGAUUAAUGAUAAAGUUUAUUACUUUCUUUCUGA
rnacentral:tRNA from 1 species